CCCUUCGGUAGUAAUGGAGCCAGCAUCGAACAACGCAGGGGAAGGAGAAGAACAUGAUGUCAUGAUGAAUGAGUCCGAAGAUGCUGCAGCAGAGAUGGGCACUCAGGCACUGACGGUGAAACUUGCCAAGUUGGAAGUGAGCAGGAACCAACUGAAGAAAUGCAGACCUUCUCAAGAUCAGCCUGCGUCAGCAGGAGGCACAGCUUCUGACAUGCCACUGGGCUUUCUCUUUAAGGUUGAAGUUCUGCAUGAUUUUGAGGCAGCUAACGGUGACCAGCUUAAUUUGAAUGGAGGGGAUAUUGCACUAGUAAUUCCUUCUGAGACCACAGCUGAUCAGGUGAAAUGGAUAGCACCUAGGAGAACCAGCACUUUCCAGUAAGAAAUCUUCCUUUGGAUUGAUGGAUUUGGAUUGCAGCAUUGCAUGCCAAGAUCUGGCUUAGGCUGAAGCUUCCAGGAAUUUCUGGAAAAGGUUGUUGAGUAUCAACUGACUUUUAGUUUCUAGCGAUUGUGAUGGCAGAGAAAACAAGAACUGUUAUUUCUUCUGACUGUCAAUACAGGGAUGAGAGAAAAGAACUCUCAGAAAAAAAUAAUCAGAUGAAAACAUGGAUUUUUCCCCCUCAUCUGUGGCAUUCUAUAAUGAUUCUAGCACACUGCUGUGCUCUUCCUGUGAGGCUGCUUGACAGGCAUUAAGGAAUCUGAGUGGCUUCAGCACAGAGAUGCAAAUGGUUAUAAAGGACUUUUCCCAGAGAACUUCACACGCCAUCUGGAACAGUUCUUCUCACAGGCACACGAAUGUGGUUUGAAGCUCAGUCAGUGGGUUCUUCACCUCCUUGAAACACAGGAGCCCCCUUUUUUUGUAGUUCAGGCUGUUAAUGGUUUACAGAUUGGUUGCUUGUUGAAGCGUAUCAAAAUGAGCAUGAGUGCAAGCAGUUAAGCUAGCCAUUUCUGAAGCAGUGUGUGAAAAAAAAUCAAAUACAAACAGAAAUGUCCUCAUUUGUUCACAUGCACGUGGCAACAGGUUUGUUUGUGCUUUGCCAGAGCUGUGGUGAUCCUGUGUUUGGUCCUUUCCCAUGAAAUCCAAAAUUAGCCUCCUUGGUAGCAAAACCUGAACUUAUCUGCACUCAGUGCAUCGUAUUGAGUUGCACUGCAGAAAACUUAAUUAGUAAUCCUGUAGUAAUGAGGUCAAACUAUUACAAGUUUCACUUGUUUAAAAAAUAUCAUUAGCUGCUGCAAUGUUUUCCAGUGUUACUUGGAUGUGUGUCUGCAGGUGCAUGUGGGUAUGUGUGCAUCUCAGCAAUGUCAUGCAGUGCUGUGGCUGUGCAGUGCCAUCAGGGCAUGCAUUGCUCUCCCACUGUCUGGCAUUCCAGACAACAGUUUUGUUCCAAAGCAGAACCAGCUGCUCCAUUGCCAAAGCACUGCACAGCGUCCGUGUGAGUGAGGUGAGGUUUUCAUUCUGAGAUGAUGAAUGGCAUCGUUUUCAAAGCUGCUGAACCUUUGAGAAGGCAUGGCUCGGUUUCCUCUUCCGGCUGCAGUAGUUACAGUGAGGUAAUCUGGAAGGGGAACUGUUAUGAUGCUCAUCUAUACUUUUUUAUUUAGUUGGCUGAAUAAAAAAAAACACGACAGAGUUAAUCUCUGAGAAAUAAACAUCUUUUCACAAUAAUAUUUAUGCAGCGCACCUUACAGAUCCUUUUAAAUUAAGGUACAUAAUGUAUGCUGUAUCAAAAAGUCACCUGUAACUUCUGUUUUCCAGUGCUGUGUCAUUAAAAAUAAACCUGUGAUCCACAGACGUUUCAUCUGUGAUGCUUUUGAAGUUGUGUUGCAAUGAAUUUCACGUGCUUCCUGUGUUCUACUGGGGAACCUAACUUUAAUUUCAUGCCUCUUUUCCCAGAGAAGCACAGCACAGCUGGUGCACCAUCUCAACUCUUGCUUUCAACCCCCAGGUUCCAGCAGGUCUGACUCCCAGCUCAGCACAUCUCCUGGCUGCGCCUCCUGGAAAUGGGCUCUGGCCACCAGCAGCAGCAGGGGAACUUGUCUGUGCCCAGCUGUCACUCAGGCUGCUGCCUCUUAUUUGUCUCUUGCUCGUCCAUUGAUCUUGUGUGAAAAGAAAAUUCUCCAUCGCUCUGCUCCGUUCUGUUUGCAAGCAAGGCAAAUUUUUGUAUUUUAUUCUUUUGUUUGUUGGUUUGUUGCUGUUACGUUCAAGUGAUGCCCUCCUCCCCAGAGCUGGAUCAGCCCAGAACUGUUUCCCACUCCUGCACUUCUCUGUUUAACACACUAUACUGCACUUGGUGAAUUACCAGAUUUUAUGCUUUCCAGUUGAUUGUGAAGCAAUAGCCGUUGUGUCUUGAUUUCUCUAGAGACUUAUUUCUGCCUAGGGCAGCACACACUGCUAACCUACAGCAGCUAUCAUUUCUAUUUCUGCACUGAAUGAACACUCAGAGUAUUUAGGGCCCCGAUGUCCCGAUCCUCUGGGCUAUGGAUGCUGUGGCCGUGGAAGUGAGACAGAGUAACUGAAGAUGGAGGAGCGUUUCAUGAGAGCAAACUGAUCAAUUGUGUACCUGCAGCUUGUCUCUCCAGUUUGCAGCCUUUCACGAAUAAUGGAAGGAGACAAAGCUGCUGUGGGCGCCAUCCUGCUCGAACUGCGGGGGACUUGUUUGCACGGUGCUCUGCUUACUGAUGCCCUAGCACCAGGAGAACACAAAGUAAAUCACA